rnacentral:rRNA from 1 species
UACGAAGGGGGCUAGCGUUGCUCGGAAUCACUGGGCGUAAAGCGCACGUAGGCGGAUUGUUAAGUCAGGGGUGAAAUCCUGGAGCUCAACUCCAGAACUGCCUUUGAUACUGGCGAUCUUGAGUCCGGGAGAGGUGAGUGGAACUGCGAGUGUAGAGGUGAAAUUCGUAGAUAUUCGCAAGAACACCAGUGGCGAAGGCGGCUCACUGGCCCGGUACUGACGCUGAGGAGCGAAAGCGUGGGGAGCGAACGAGG